rnacentral:rRNA from 1 species
UACGUAGGGGGCAAGCGUUGUCCGGAAUUAUUGGGCGUAAAGAGCGUGUAGGCGGCCACGCAGGUCCGUUGUGAAAACUGGAGGCUCAACCUCCAGACGUCGACGGAAACCGUAUGGCUAGAGUCCGGAAGAGGAGAGUGGAAUUCCUGGUGUAGCGGUGAAAUGCGCAGAUAUCAGGAAGAACACCAAUGGCGAAGGCAGCUCUCUGGGACGGUACUGACGCUGAGACGCGAAAGCGUGGGGAGCGAACAGG